GGUUUCAUAGUGUAGUGGUUAUCACGCCUGCUUCACACGCAGGAGGUCUUGGGUUCGAUCCCCAAUGAAACCA